GGUUGAUCCUGCCAGUAGUCAUAUGCUUGUCUCAAAGAUUAAGCCAUGCAUGUCUAAGUAUAAACAACUUGUACUUGUGAAACUGCGAAUGGCUCAUUAAAUCAGUUAUAAUUUAUUUGAUCAUACGUUUCUUACUACAUGGAUAACCGUAGUAAUUCUAGAGCUAAUACAUGCGACCAAUCCCGACUAUGAAUAAUAGAAGGGAUGUAUUUAUUAGAUAAAAACCAACCGACGGGGCAACCCGUUUCCAUGGUGAUUCAUAAUAACUUCGCGAAUCGCAGUUGGCCGAUUU
rnacentral:rRNA from 1 species